rnacentral:tRNA from 1 species
GCAGUGGUGGUUCAGUGGUAGGAUUCUCACCUUCCAUGUGGGAGACCCAGGUUCAAAUCCCAGCCAGUGCU